rnacentral:rRNA from 1 species
GACGAACCGUGCGAACGUUGUUCGGAAUCACUGGGCUUAAAGGGCGCGUAGGCGGAUCAGCAAGUCCGGGGUGAAAUCUUUCGGCUCAACCGGAAAAGUGCCUUGGAUACUGCUGGUCUUGAGGGAGGUAGGGGCAUGUGGAACUUCCGGUGGAGCGGUGAAAUGCGUUGAUAUCGGAAGGAACGCCGGUGGCGAAAGCGACGUGCUGGCCCUCUUCCGACGCUGAGGCGCGAAAGCCAGGGGAGCGAACGGG